AUUCAAGCGAUCACACAUUUGACCGCUACCGCUCAUAACAAGCGGCAACGAAAGAGCAGUGGCAGAACUAUCAAGUCUACUCGCGUAAUACAGCACCACGUCGUACCAAGGCCACGGUCAAGGAUAGCUUUGACAAGGGGGACCUGCAGUGCGUAAGAACCCUGACAUAGCGAUCAUGCGAAUUCGGCUUCUACUACUUUUCUUCCUCCUCGUACUUGUCACCUUAGACACAGCGGACUCCGUGAUUUGGCGCAGGCGCAGAAGAACGAGAUCUACAAACCCGGAUCCUUCGGGAUGGUGCGGAGACUGCCAUGGGGUCGUGUGUCGAAUGGUCUCGCCCGGAGUGUAUGAGCUUGCCGUCAAUAGUUGUGAUUGCGGUGUUGACUGUUACUGUCUCUUCAGUGAAUACACAGACACAGGUGUGGAAAUCUACACGUGCAAGCCUAUUUGACAGGACUUUGCGGAGACUUAAUCGAUUUUUCAUGUCCGUAGCGGGGGGUGGGGCACUGGGGUCACGUGCACCCUCUCCCAACCAGUGGGGCGUGGCUGUGCCCACAACAUUUUCUAUAUGUUUCGUAUUCUGUAUAGUCCCCUCAAGAGCCUUCUUUGCAACCCAGGGCGUUGUUCCGUGACAAACUGGGUUCCCGAAGAUAGGUGCGUCAGAGGAGACUAAACAAGUCAACAACUUUAACCAGGGAAUAGCGUUAUAUAAAUAUCUGCCGUCUUUAAGUGGAUAGCCUUCUGGGCAGGACUUCACUCGGUGUUAUUUUUUUCUCGCGCAGAAUAUGACCAAGAAUUGAAUCAGCCUUCACUUUGAGCUUCCAACUCGUUUUGCACGGCAGCGCGCAAACAAGGAAAUAAGGCUGGAAUAUAUCUGUUUUAUACGAUCUAUUAGAUAUUUCUCGCCGCAAUUUGAUAAACGAAUGUGGGAAAAUAAAAACUGGUGUUAAAAUUUAUCAUUAAACUCCUAAUUGAUGACAAUAAUUUGAUGACAAUAAUAAAAUCAAUUUUAA